rnacentral:rRNA from 1 species
AACGAACGCUGGCGGCAUGCCUAACACAUGCAAGUCGAACGAACACAUCGGGUCUUGUGGCGCACGGGUGCGUAACGCGUCGGAACCUGCCCAUAGGUUUGGCCUAACUCUCAGACAGGGGUGCUUACACCGGACAAGGUCUUCGACCCAAAGAUUUAUCGACCUUGGUUGGGCACGCGUUGGAUUAGCUUGUUGGUAGGGUAAUAGACUACUAAGGCGACGAUUCAUAGAUGGUCUGAGAGGAUGAUCAGCCACACUGGGACUGAGACACGGCCCAGACUCUUACGGGAGGCAGCAGUGGGGAAUAUUGGACAAUGGGCGGAGGCCUGAUCCAGCAAUGCCGCGUGAGUGAUGAAGUCCUUAGGGUUGUAAAGCUCUUUUACCCGGGAUGAUAAUGACGGUACCGGGAGAAUAAGCUCCGGCUAACUCCGUG